GUGAACUGCGAAUGGCUCAUUAAAUCAGUUAUCGUUUAUUUCGAUAUUCCUUUACUACUUGGAUAACCGUGGUAAUUCUAGAGCUAAUACAUGCUAAAAACCUCGACUUCGGAAGGGGGUGUAUUUAUUAGAUAAAAAAACCAGCGCCCUUCGGGGCUCCUUGGUGAUUCAUAAUAACUAAACGAAUCGCAUGGCCUUGCGCCGGCGAUGGUUCAUUCAAAUUUCUGCCCUAUCAACUUUCGAUGGUAGGAUAGUGGCCUACCAUGGUAUCAACGGGUAACGGGGAAUUAGGGUUCUAUUCCGGAGAGGGAGCCUGAGAAACGGCUACCACAUCCAAGGAAGGCAGCAGGCGCGCAAAUUACCCAAUCCCGACACGGGGAGGUAGUGACAAUAAAUACUGAUACAGGGCUCUUUUGGGUCUUGUAAUUGGAAUGAGUACAAUUUAAAUCCCUUAACGAGGAACAAUUGGAGGGCAAGUCUGGUGCCAGCAGCCGCGGUAAUUCCAGCUCCAAUAGCGUAUAUUAAAGUUGUUGCAGUUAAAAAGCUCGUAGUUGAACCUUGGGCCUGGCUGGCCGGUCCGCCUCACCGCGUGUACUGGUCCGGCCGGGCCUUUCCUUCUGGGGAGCCGCAUGCCCUUCACUGGGCGUGUUGGGGAACCAGGACUUUUACUUUGAAAAAAUUAGAGUGUUCAAAGCAGGCCUUUGCUCGAAUACAUUAGCAUGGAAUAAUAGAAUAGGACGUGCGGUUCUAUUUUGUUGGUUUCUAGGACCGCCGUAAUGAUUAAUAGGGAUAGUCGGGGGCAUCAGUAUUCAAUUGUCAGAGGUGAAAUUCUUGGAUUUAUUGAAGACUAACUACUGCGAAAGCAUUUGCCAAGGAUGUUUUCAUUAAUCAGUGAACGAAAGUUAGGGGAUCGAAGACGAUCAGAUACCGUCGUAGUCUUAACCAUAAACUAUGCCGA
rnacentral:rRNA from 1 species